GAAUGAAGGUAGCAUGGUACUGUGCACGGAAACUGAGCUACCGCAGAUCGACAUGUCUGCCAUCUCUGAACUCUCUGAUGAGACGGCCUGGUUUAGAUCUAUAUUC
rfam:Capsella rubella cultivar Monte Gargano unplaced genomic scaffold scaffold_6, whole genome shotgun sequence.